GAUAAGGUUAAGUGAAUAAGGGCGCACGGUGGAUGCCUUGGCACUAGGAGCCGAUGAAGGACGGGACUAACACCGAUAUGCUUUGGGGAGCUGUAAGUAAGCUAUGAUCCAGAGAUUUCCGAAUGGGGGAACCCAAUAUCUUUUAUAGGAUAUUACUUUUCAGUGAAUACAUAGCUGAUUAGAGGUAGACGCAGAGAACUGAAACAUCUUAGUACCUGCAGGAAGAGAAAGAAAAUUCGAUUCCCUGAGUAGCGGCGAGCGAAACGGGAAGAGCCCAAACCAACAAGCUUGCUUGUUGGGGUUGUAGGACUCCGAUAUGGUAGUCUGUUAGUAUAGUUGAAGGAUUUGGAAAAUUCCGCUAAAGAGGGUGAAAGCCCCGUAGACGAAAUGCUAACAACACCUAGGAGGAUCCUGAGUACGGCGGAACACGAGAAAUUCCGUCGGAAUCCGCGG
rnacentral:rRNA from 1 species